UAAUCACCAUCCUCCUCCUCUCUUCUUCCGUUCCAAUUUAUAAUGAUUGCGGAAGAAGUGAACGCAAUCGGUGUAAACAUGUAUGAAAGAGACGGGGGAUGAAUGCAUUAAUGAAUUGAAACGGACUUGCUCUUGAGGGAGGAGCAAGAGCACGAACAAAAGAGUGAAUGAAAGUGAAAAGAAGGAAAAGAAA
ensembl:ncRNA F56D1.10 ncRNA